UUGAAUUUUCGGGAUCAAUAUGUUGGUCGUGCCUCGGUACGUACUAGGCUUAUUGGUUUCUCCUUUCUGAAGAACCAUGAUGUCAUUUAUUUGGUGUCGUGGGGAAAUCAGGACUGUUACUUUGAAAAAUUAAGAGUGUUUAAAGCAGGCUCACGCUUGAAUACAUUAGCAUGGAAUAAUGAAAUAGGACGUUUGAUUCUAUUUUGUUGGUUUCUAGGAUCGACGUAAUGAUUAAUAGGGAUAGUUGGGGGCAUUAGUAUUCAAUUGUCAGAGGUGAAAUUCUUGGAUUUAUUGAAGACUAACUACUGCGAAAGCAUUUGCCAAGGAUGUUUUCAUUAAUCAAGAACGAAAGUUAGGGGAUCGAAGACGAUCAGAUACCGUCGUAGUCUUAACCAUAAACUAUGCCGACUAGGGAUCGGAUGAUGUUGAUUUUUAAUGACUC
rnacentral:rRNA from 1 species